UACGUAGGGUGCAGGCGUUAAUCGGAAUUACUGGGCGUAAAGCGUGCGCAGGCGGUCUUUUAAGUCAGAUGUGAAAUCCCCGGGCUUAACCUGGGAACUGCGUUUGAAACUGGAAGGCUAGAGUGUGGCAGAGGGGGGUGGAAUUCCACGUGUAGCAGUGAAAUGCGUAGAGAUGUGGAGGAACACCGAUGGCGAAGGCAGCCCCCUGGGCUAACACUGACGCUCAUGCACGAAAGCGUGGGAAGCAAACAGG
rnacentral:rRNA from 1 species